rnacentral:misc_RNA from 1 species
GAAAGCAAAAGUCGUAACAAGGUUUCCGUAGGUGAACCUGCGGAAGGAUCAUUAUUGUAUAACCGAGGUGCGAGGGCUGUCACUGACCCGAAAGGUCGUGCACGCCCGAGUGCCCUCACACACAUCCAUCUCACCCCUAUGUGCACCACCGCGUGGGUCCCCCUUUGGCUUGUUCGGAGGGGGGCUUACGUUUUCACACAAACUUUGUAUGCAGUGUAGAAUGUAUUUUUUGUUUUUGCGAUCACGCAAUCAAUACAACUUUCAACAACGGAUCUCUUGGCUCUC